GACGAACGCUGGCGGCGUGCCUAAUACAUGCAAGUCGAACGCAGUUGCGAACGGGUGAGUAACGCGUCGGUAACUGCCUCAUAGCGGGGGAUAACUAUUGGAAACGAUAGCUAAUACCGCAUACUGUUAGAUGGCACUGCGUUUUAUUAGCUAGUUGGUGAGGUAAAGGCUCACCCAGGCAACGAUACAUAGCCGACCUGAGAGGGUGAGCGGCCACACUGGGACUGAGACACGGCCCAGACUCCUACGGGAGGCAGCAGUAGGGAAUCUUCGGCAAUGGACGGAAGUCUGACCGAGCAACGCCGCGGGAGUGAAGAAGGUUUUCGGAUCGUAAAACUCUGUUGUUAGAGAAGCGGUAUCUAACCAGAAAGCCACGGCUAACUACGUGCCAGCAGCCGCGGUAAUAC
rnacentral:rRNA from 1 species